UCCUCAAAUGCGUCCCACUUGUGCUUCACAGGUUAGAGUUCACCAGAGCCCUGAUCAUAACUAGUGCCAGCCAAGAUACAAAGUAGUUAAGUGCUUGUAUUAAUUCUCUGUUUGUUGCAUUUACAGCCAAGUGGGACACGUUUUGAGGCGUUUACACCAAGGCCGUUGCAUGCUCGAAAUGAUUGGUCUUUAGUUGAGUCCCGUUACGUCUCCAAUUGUCAAGCUAGGGGAAUACGUUCUGUAUACCCUAAGCUUCUCCUCCGUUGUCUGGGCCCUGGCAGGAUACGCUCUGCUGACAUCGCACAGCGGACUGUCAGAGAGAGGUAUGAGGAGGUGGAAGUGAUCGUUAGACGUUGCACACGCAGAUCUAACGUUUCACCCGUACAUCCCUUCCCGCUACCUUCCUUGGUUCCCCAGCGACGUCGAGGUCAUCCUGCUGCUCCUACUGUAGGUAGUAGAGCCUUAAUGCAGGACACCCCGAGACCUCUUCUGUCAGAGGAAAUCUCUUCUGCACAGCCUGAGCGUCCUCGGGCCCUGGAACCUGGCAGGAGUCUGUCUGUGGUUGUGUCACAGCAGAAACCUGUCCAGGUUGUGCGUCCUCUGGGCCGGCGUACACGUUGGGGUCGUGUCGCACCGGCUCAGCAGGUCCAGCCCUCGCCAGCUUGGCAGUUACGGGCUACACAUAUUGCUUG